rnacentral:rRNA from 1 species
CUACGGGACGCUGCAGUGGGGAAUAUUGGGCAAUGGGCGCAAGCCUGACCCAGCAACGCCGCGUGAGGGGAGAAUGUCUUCGGAUUGUAAACCUCUGUCCUUGGGGACGAAAAAAAUGACGGUACCCAAGGAGGAAGCUCCGGCUAACUACGUGCCAGCAGCCGCGGUAAUACGUAGGGAGCAAGCGUUGUCCGGAAUUAUUGGGCGUAAAGGGUGCGUAGGCGGCGCUGUAAGUCAGAUGUGAAAUCCCCGGGCUUAACUCGGGAGUUGCAUUUGAAACUACAGUGCUUGAGUAAAGAAGGGGUAAGUGGAAUUCCUAGUGUAGCGGUGGAAUGCGUAGAUAUUAGGAGGAACACCAGUGGCGAAGGCGACUUACUGGUCUUUUACUGACGCUGAGGCACGAAAGCGUGGGGAGCAAACAGGAUUAGAUACCCGAGUAGUC